UGGCGCCCAGACAUUGAGCUGUGUAAGGGGCCCUAAAAAAAAGCUGCUUCCCGUUCUCCCAGAACAUUGAAUUUUGUGACCCCAGUUACAAACAGCCUCCAGAGAUCCUGUUCUACACCAGACCAGUGGAGCCAAACUGCAGCCAGAGCCCAUCACCAUCCUCAUCUGGUUGUAAGUAGGCAGUCUAGUAUAUUAUUAGUGACACUAAUCUCUAAUUUACCUCACAUUAAAAGGGACACUAG